rnacentral:rRNA from 1 species
GUGCCAGCCGCCGCGGUAAUACGAAGGGUGCAAGCGUUACUCGGAAUUACUGGGCGUAAAGCGUGCGUAGGUGGUUUGUUAAGUCUGCUGUGAAAGCCCCGGGCUCAACCUGGGAAUGGCAGUGGAUACUGGCAAGCUAGAGUGCGAUAGAGGGGUGUGGAAUUCCCGGUGUAGCGGUGAAAUGCGUAGAGAUCGGGAGGAACACCAGUGGCGAAGGCGGCACCCUGGAUCAGCACUGACACUCAGGCACGAAAGCGUGGGGAGCAAACAGGAUUAGAUACCCUGGUAGUCC